rnacentral:lncRNA from 1 species
AGGGGCUCCCCCCGAGAGCCUAGGGGGCCGCCGCGCCGUGUCCCGCGCCCGGCCUGCCGGGGCUGCUGGACUAGAGGGAUUGAUUAUUGAUUGGUGAUCGGGGUCGCUGAGGCUCCGGGCCGGCCCGGCCGACUGGCCGCGGCAAGAAGGAGCUGGCUGGGCGGCGUGGGCGGCGGGGCGACGCGGGCUCACUUACGGGCGGCGGUGAGGGCGCGGGUGGGCCGGAGCUCAUGCGGGCGACCCCCGGGCGGCGGCGGCUGAGCGGGAGCCGGAGCCCGAGCGGCGCGGGCGGCGGCGCAUCGAUGCGCUGCGGGCUCGAUUGCGUCUCCCUGGGCCAGCUCUCAGGCCGGGAAUGGGGCGGCCGCGCCGGGGCCGGCUCCGGGCGCUGCCGGGCGGCGGCUGCUGGAGCGCGGGGGCGGCCUCCGGGCCCACUAUCCCCGAGGCGGCCCUGCGCCCGGGCGCGCCGGCUGGGGCUCUGGCGCUCUCGCAGGCCCCGAGGCCGACAGUCCCGGCGAGGGCGGGCGCCCCGCGCUCCAGCACCGGCUGCCUGAGCGCUCCUGGAGCAGCAAACCCCAGACUUCUUCCUCCUUCUCUCCUUCCUUCCUUCCCCCUCCCCUUAUCUUUUUCUUUUUUUAGUCUCUUUCUCCCUCUUUUUCUGCCCUGUGUCCUUUUUAUUUUUUCUCUACGACUGUUUUUGCAAGUUUGUUUCAAAAGUUCACAGCAUGCUUUCUUUUCUUUUAGACCGGGAGACAGUGAUCUCACCCACACGGUAAGAUCAAAAGUCUCCGCUCGCCCAGCCUGCGGGCUUGGGCUGGGUCCAGACGUCUCCCAGGAUGCAGAUGCGCCGCCGCUGGCCUCCCCGGCUAUAAAGCCGCCUCCAGCGCCUUUCCGCGCGCAGGAGCGCUCGGAGUUGUGGGGUACGGACCCCAGGCGGGGCAGGGAGUCCGAGGCGGGCUGCGGCGGGGCUCUCGGGCUGGCGGACUCGGGGGCUGAGGCGCCGUGCGCGUUGGGUGCCCGCGGCCGCAGAGGCCAGAACCGCUACUCCUCCAGGCCGGGGAGACGCGGCCGUGGAGCGUGAAACGCUUCUUGCAAGCGAGGAAACGGUGAGUUGGCCGACACCGCCGGCGGCCUCACCAUUCUGGUGGCCGCGCUGAGCUCCUGUCGCCUGGAGGCGGGUUGCGCCGCACGGGGUCAGCUCCCGCCGGCUCCCAGCUCACCUUCGAAGCUCCCACUUAGGCGCGCCCGGUGCGGCGUGUGCACAGCGCGGGGCGCCGCACACGGAAGCGUGUAGUUCUCCCUGGUCGCGCUUUUCUCCUCCUUUCCAUCCCCUCGCUGUUCUUGCAAACCUCUGUUCCUUCGGCCCCCUCCCACUGCGGGCCGCGGCCUGAACUCGGGUCUCCGCGUAGCCGGCCGCCGCCGCUGGGUCGCUGCCUGGCCCUCCCCCGCUCAGGCGCCGAGCGCUGUGCGAUCCGCCCUAACAUCUGUCCGUCCAACCAUUGGCGCAUCCAUCAGUGUCAAUGGGCUGCACAUUGCAGCGACAGCCCGCCACGCACAACACGGGCUAUGCGGAGUGCACGCAGCAACCAUACUGCCAUGUCGGGACACGCAAAAAGGCCCCCGGCCUGGCUUGGCACAGCCUGAAGGCCUAAUCUGUGUUCUUUCAGCCACAUGUACCCACCCCCACUUAAUAUCUGGACCCCCAAACAUGAAUAGUUUUGCAGACCAUUGUAGGGAUGGAAUUGAAGGAAGAGGGGCAGUGUCGCCCGAGUCAUUAUUUUCCACCAGGUUUUCUCUGCCCUUGUGUGGGCUGGGUGUGGCUAGGAGAGAAGGAAGGGAGACUUCCCAAAUCCGCACCAAGCACACUGCAGAACCGGAAGCUACCUGGAUGCAAGGGCUUAAACCCCCUUCACCUGGGCCUAGGAUGUGUUGUCGAGGUCGCUGGCCAGGUUUUAGCCAGGAGGUCUCGCGCUAAAACUUUUUGGCCCCGCCUGGCUGCUGUGUGUGACAUGGCCUGAUGGAGAGGAGCUGGAGAGCGGAGGAAAACGUGGAUCCCAGUGAGAACUAAGGGCCAGAUUUAGGGAGAAAUAGUGUCUGGAUGGCAGUAAGUCUGUAAUUCACAUUUUGUUUACAAAGGGAGAAAGGGCAGGGCUGUAGGUUUGAGAAGCCAGAGGUUUGCGCGGAGUUCCGUGUGCCCAUUCCCCGAGAGUGCCGCUCUUGGCUGUAGUUGUUUGUUCUACCUGAUUUUGCCUCUUGCCUUCAACUCCCCCAUAACCCCUCCCCAAAUGUCCAGAGGGCAAACAUAUGCGCAUACCUCCCUGAUCAAUCCAGCCAGACCAAAGGGCCUUCCCUGUCCUCCCCCUAAGAACUUAAUGGGAAGAGUGUACGGGGGACCUACUCUUGGGACAUCUGCAGGGCGGCUGUACCAGGCGUUUUACCUGACUUUAUUCUUACCGCAAAGAUUUCCGUCUCGGUACCUGGUGCCCCCUCAGAGUCCACUACACAAACGGGUAAAAUCCCGCGCGGCUAUUCAUUUCGCCAUUCGCGAGUAAGAAGGGGAAAAGGAGCCGCUUCUAGGAGAGCACUGAGGUAUGCUCGGUUCGGUUCCCGAGGAGGCCAGAAGCGGCCGCGGCGGCGCGGGCUGGAGCUCCCUCCUGCAGGGAGACACCGCGCUCUAGGGUGCGGGCUUCGCCGCCCACAUCCAGUGGUCGAACUGUUUUCACGCUAGACUAGAGGGCGGAAAAGUCUGCGCCCGCGGAGAAACUAGAAUUCUGUAGAAUGUACACUGUGUAGAAAUCUUUUCACCCCACUCUUCAGAGUUGCAGAUUAUCUUUGAAAAACAACAGGCUCUGGCCCUGCCAGCCCUAGUAACUUCUACCCGCCUGAGUCACUCUGAAAAGUAAGCCCCUAGGCCAGUGAGAUGUCCCCACCUUUGGGAGGUGCCGCCUUUCCGGGAACAUUAAAAAAAAAACCCUAAAAAUAGAAGGAGGAAAAAUGAGCAAAGGCGGUGGGACGACUCACCGAAACACCGAGGUGCAAAUGUCCAUUGGAGAAACUGGCAGUCGCAUGGCAGCCAGCUGGCUCACCCAAUAGCUGGGUGGUAACCUUGUGAUCCCCAAACAUCCCCCAGGGCCAUGAAGGCAGUGCUGACCCCCACGAUUGCACCUCAGGCCCGGUGGAAUCCCGCUCCUCCUCCAUAGUGGUGCUAUGUAAUCAGUAGAAAAUCAGUAGAAAAGCUCCCAAAUGAAGCUGCUUCAGGUCAGGGGUUAGAAAUCUGCCUCAGACUUUUUGAACUCAAGGAAAUCGGGACAUCUGUCCCCAGAGCUACCUGUGCCCCACCCCAGGAUCAUUCAUGACCUUAGCUACCGGGAGCUCUGCCCGGAUAAGUUUUUAAAAGAGAGAGAGAAAGAAAAAAGUCACAUGCAGGCAAGGCUAGGAACAGGUGUGUGCUGUGGGGACGGGCACUUGGCUCGCAACACACCACACAAAGUCACGAAGUCUGUGCCAGAAAGGAGUAGCCAAACCACCGCCGGGAGGCAGCCGAGGUUGUGUUUAAGGUGGCGAUUGAGGGCAGUAGGUGACAACUCGACCCAAAGAAGGCCAAGUCUUGUCCUUAUCUGGGGUGGCCACUGAGGGAAAAGACUUAAGGGAAAGAAGUUGUCUUCAAAGCUACCAUUACAAGAUGAGGAGCUAGAGUGGGCUCAGGUCCCAGGCACCCAGGGCUUAAGCCUUGAUGUUGGAGAGGUUCUCGGAGGGAGGCUUGGGCCACCUGGAGGGACUGGGCACUCUGAGUAGUACCCUCUGGGAGGCUGUACCCCCUUUCAAAGUGUGAGGGCAUUUGCCCAAGGUGUAGGCUUUUAGGGAGCCCAGGGCUGGGCAGCACCAGGGGAGAGAGGCACCAGGUGGGUGCCCUCCUGCCUGCACUCACCUGGAAUGCUGGCAUAUGGGUUUUUCGCCUUCCUCACGCCUCCCCACACCACAUUCUGGGCUAGGCAGUGUCGAGGAGGUGCCUUGGGUUCAGGGAAGCUUGCCACCUGCACACCUGAACCAGGAAUUGGGCCCCGGAAUCUCAGCCCCUGCCCAAGCAGGAAGGAUAGGGACCCUGGCCCUCGCCAGGUGGUAAAUUGUUUGCUAAAAGUGCAUUUACACGGCGGCGAAGUUUGUUUCUCUUUUACCGGUAGCUUUGUUUUAACGAACCAGAUGUUUUGUCUGUAAAUUCUCCCAAGAACUUUUCCAGUUUUGACGUGAAAUAAACCUUCGAAAAUCAGAAGAGUAUAUUAAUACCACUUCUGUGGGGCCUCAGGAGAGCUGAGUCAGGUGUGCCUGGAUGGGAGCUGGGGGUGGGAGUACAAUCUUUGGAGAGAAGUAGGGGGCUUCUCUUGGCCCAAGGUCAAGAAUUGGUUUGGGGGAGGUGAAGUGCCUCCCCGACUCCCAAAACAGGCGCACACACACGCAUUGUCACACCAGAGUACGCACUCCCAGCCCUCCUCCAACCAGGCAUAGCUUGCUACUUCGUAAAUUUCUUGUGGCUUGGGGCACAGAGAUGUAGCUCAACUUUGCAGACUGUGUCCACUGCAUGCCGCUGCCGUUUUCCACGAGGACCGCCUGACUGAAAGGCAAAGGGGCCUUCGAUCUUCUUCCCGGGGCAGCUUUGAUGCCUGAGUGUGCGGGGCCGGGGCCGGGGCCAGGGCAGAGCAGGGUGGAAGCUGGUGCCCCUGUCUGGCCCACCCUUAACUCCUGGGCACCACUCGAUUCGGGAGAACUUGGGGUGGAAGCCGACCUGGUCUAGGAAGCCACAGCCUGCAGGUCCCCCUCUCCAAUGCCUCAUUUUUUCCGAUUUAGGAUUUCCAGGCAGUUAUAAACACCUUAAAAAAAAAGACCCACUUAACAAUACACCUAAAAGAGGGAGGGAAGGAAGGAAGGAGUACGGUUAUCACAGGCGUGUGGGGAGAGGGAAACCAGGUCUGCCUAGAAACCCACCUUCUGGUCCUGUGAGUCAUAGCGGCCACUUUCUCGGGUUUCCCAAGACAGGAGAUGGCGAUUUUCUGCUCCCUCCCCUCUCCCCAAGCUUUCCAGUGCUCUGAGUCUCACAUCUUCAGAUACCUCUUUCUUCCUUCAUUCUCUUUCGUUCAAUCAUCUACGGAACUUUCAAAAACUUUUUUUUUAGGAGAGCGAAGAUUAAAUAAAGAAAAUAAAACGUCUUUGUAUUUCAGUCUAAGGAGGACAGAUGCACAUUAAACUCAGUUUGGAGCGCUUAACUCCAGGCGAAAUGCCCUUUUAUCAAAUCCCACGCGUCGACUUGGGUUGCGCUGGGAAUUUCACGAAUUCCUCGCUGCAGCGUGGCGUGGUUUACCCCCACCCCCACCGCCACCCCACUUUGGGUGAAAUGGAUUUUUGGAAACCAUUUAAGCAGAGCUAAAAAUAAGGGUGGGGGGAUCCCUACACUAGAGAUAGCUGCAGCCACCUAGGGGCUCACCCCUGGUCGGGAGCGAGCAGCUAUUUGCUAGUUGUAGCUCAGGGGUGCCCAACUCUUCCCGUGUGGUUGCGCCAGCUGCCCCGCACUGCAGGUAUCUGAAUCAUUACGUGGGCAACCUGAUGCGGCUCUGAACCCCAGCUCUUUGAAUGCUGGAAUCCUGAAGGAGGAGGAUUCCACCAGGUCUUAGCCGACCAGAUAGCCCAGCUUUCUGAGGCUGGUGACCUCAUUAACUGGCCAGGGAAUUUGCAAGACCAGGAAUAAUCACGUUUCCCAGUUCUUCUUUCCUACAUUGCUUUUCUCCUCUGUCUUCAACGUUAGGGUUUUGUGUUUGUCCCUAAAUUUACAAUUUACAAACGGGGAAGACGGAGCCUAAGUUUCUGCAGGGCAGGUACAAAAGAGAGGGACAACACUCUGGGGGCCUCAUUCUUUCACGUUUUUGUUUCUUGAAAUUUGAUGGAUAUCACCUUAGUUCGGCAAUAGGAGGGCCAGGGUGACUGGGGACAUGGUGGCCCGAAGGGUUAGAUAAUAUAGCAUGCAGGUAGUCUCUGAUCUCCAGGGCUUUGAUAACACCAAGAUUUUCCUCCUUUGCAGAGCAGUCCUAAAUUCUGCCUUCUCCCUUUUCUGCCGCCUCUUCUCUUUUCCCCAUUUCUUUCUUCGUUUCUUUUUCUGUUUUCUUUUUGUGUGCCUCUCUUCCAACAGUCCCUCCUCCACCUUUAUAAGACUUCUCAAAGGUUAUUUAUUUAAGGUCUACCAAGUGCUAGCCCCAAACAGGUCCAGUCCUUCUACCUGUGGCAAGACGGAGGCUGUUACCGCGUGCAAAUAGUGAGGGAACAAAGUAGUUUGGAGUUUUUUGCAGCUUUUUUAGGUGAGGGGAAGGGAGGGAGGUCAGAAAUAGGUUGACACUUGGUUUGAAAUAAAAGAGCAUGUUAAGAAGUUUCGAAGCUGCCAAUAAAACCCUUUAAGUGGCUUGUGAUUCAGUGCCUGGAGUUGCGGGGAUGGCAUUGGUAAAUGACUCUAAUGCCCAAAGAAAAAUAUUACAAAUGCCGCUGUCUCGGCCACCAAUCGGGCGCCGCUUUCCUGCGCGGGCGAUGGCUCCUCUCUGGCGCGGAGGGCACCCACAUUUGCAUGAUAAAUUGACCAGACUGGCGGCAGCCAAUGAAAUAUUCAAAUUAGGCUGGGUGGCGGUAGUAGGGGUGGAGUCCCUGGGGCUGCCCCUUGGCGCGGCGGCGGGAGCGGGCGCUACCACCUCUCCGUCAGCGCCCUCUGGAGGCGGGACAGCGCGGGCGGCCGCUCUGGCCCAAAAGACGAGAUGGGGGGUUGGGGGUUUGGGAUGCAAGGGGGUUUGGGAGGGGUGAUGGUGGGGUCUGGGUGGUGCUUCGCGGCCCCAGGAGGCUUUCCGGCUGGCCUCGUUGACUAGGCGUACAGCAGCGUCUCCGCAUGCCUCUUGCCCUUAAAAGUGUUGAUGGAUUGCAGAAGUGGAUGGUGACCCCAAGGAGGGGUUUCAGAAAGGCUCCAGCCUCCUUCGCCCAACCACCUUCUCUAGGUUCCCCUAACAAACCCAUCACUUAAGUUAAAAACGUGUAUUUGCUCUUGUUGACUUAGCUUUAAGACAAGAUUCUUGCCCACCGCAGACCACAUGGCCAGCUUUCCCAAAGGCCCUCUGAUAAUGAAAUGGUGGAGCAGAUAUAUCAAACUUUCCAUCUUGCCCUGAGCCAACGACCCUGCACCCUCACAGGCCAGGGCACUCUGGAGGGCACCCUGCCUGGAGCCCCAAACCUUGGGUAAGCUGUGGGAGCCUAGGCAGGGGCAGGCAGUGCCUGGAGGCUGGCUUCAGACGGCAGAACUUCUCACCUGGGAAAAUGCUUUCUGGAAGAAGCACCCAGGCCUCAAGGCAGCUCCAGUGAGGGGGCAAAAAGGGAUAUACAUAAGGCAUAAGGCGCUGGCCAUGGUUAGGUAGGUGCUCAGCCAGGAAGAUAGGGCAGAUUCACAUGGGGGAGAUUGGCUCGGUGAUGAGACCACUUCUGACUCCACCAGAACCAGGCCCAGCUCUUCCUGGAGGUCCUGACUCAACGGGGACUUUUGCAUGGGAGCCAAAGAACAGUGGAUGUCUCUUGUCCGCUGAUCAUCUCUUCCCUUCCCCCACCCCAUAUUCCAUCCCAUGCCAGAUCCCUAGGCUGUGCCUGUUAGAGCUACUGUAGCACCACAUGGACUUGCCUUUAAAGCAGAAUUUUUAGAAGUGCAGUUGCUUUUCUUUACUCUGCUGUGGGAUGCUGAACACCUUGUUCUUUCUCCAGCUCAGCAGGGCUUGGAGUUGGUUCCUAGCUAUCUCUGGGAAUGCUCGAUCCCCAUCUCUGUUACCAGCCAAAAGGGUCUGCGGGAGGUGGUCGGCACUCCAGUCAGCAGCCCUCUCAGUACCUCUUCCCCAGACAUAGUCAAAGCAAGUCAUUCAUCUGCAGCCAGUCUCCCCUGCCCAUUCACCAAGGAGAACCUGGGGAUAGGACCACUCAGAGCCUGGCCCAGGCUGGCUCACUAACUGUGUGUAAAUACACACAGCGGAAAGAGUAGGUGCUGAACACACAUGUGUGAGAGAGUGAAUUUUUACUCUCAAUCACCUUAUAUAUAUUAUCAAUAGUUUCAAAGUAUGUUGCCCAAAGGAUGUUAAUUCCUAAGAAGGCUUUUAUAUCGUUUGGAGUUUUGAGGAGUGUGUUGGCUGAAGAGAAGAGGGUCUGGCCCCAGUCUUGAUGGGAAUGCAUGGGGUAAACAGCUGGUGGCAGAGGUACAAAAGGGGCCUCUCUACUUUCUAAGAGAAUCUUCCAUCCUGGCUGAUUUUAGGACCUGGGGUGGGGUUCCCAUCAGGAGGAGGCCUAAGGAAGGAGUAGGACCCUUCCUAGAUGGCUGAGUCAACUUAUACGACAGGGCAGGGAAACCUAUCUUGGAAACCCGGGAGCCCUCCUUCCUCCUCCCCAUCCUCAGGCCUCACCUGAGACUUGAAAAUGGACCAGAGUCUUCCUCCAACAGUGAAAUUCGUUAAAGAGUCACUCCUGUCUAGAAUGUGCAGAAAUGCAAGCCUCUCUCUUUCUCUCUCUCUCUCUUUCUCCACCUUGAGGAUGCUGUAUCUAGAGCCCAUAUAGGGACAAGAAGGUAAGCAGUGAAAGCAGGAAAGAAGUAGAAGGCUGGCUGUCAUCCAGCUGUGCAUACAGUCCUAUCUCAGCUGAACUGUGCACGGUGAAUGAGGAAGUAAAUGACAGGUGAAGGACCAAGAGAGUGAAGCUAGUCAGUUUAUCUGAGGAGAUAGGUAUCAGUGAGUAACUGUAAGGAUCACACCCACAGUGGGUGUGCCCCGCAGAUGGAUAUAUGUGCAGCAAGCGGUACCUUGCGGGGGAAUGCAAGCUCCAACUGUGGUGCUGAGCCUCUGGCCCAUAAGUAACCCAGUGAGCCUGAGCAGGUCACUCCCUCUCUUUGAACCUUGUCUCCAUCUCUAAAACAGGACAGCUUUCUCCAUCUUAAACACCAAGUAGGAAUUCAUUGUGGAAACCUUCCAUCAAAAUUGGAGAUGCCUUGGAUGGACCCUGUGGUGGCUCAUGCCUGUAAUCCCAGCACUUUGGGAGGCUGCGGCAGGCAGAUCACUUGAGUCCAGGAGUUUGAGACCAGCCUGGGUGACAUGACAAAACCCUCUCUCCACAAAAAAUACAAAAAUUAGCUGGGCAUGGUGGCAUGCACCUGUAAUCUCAGCUACUUGGGAGGCUGAGGCAGGAGGAUCGCUUGAGCCUGGGAGGUUGAGGCUGUAGUGAGCCGAGAUAGUGCCACUGCACUCCAGUCUGGGCAACAGAGUGAGACCCUGUCUCAAAAAAACAAAAAAUAGAGAAAUAGAGAUGCCCCUUGAACCCAUGGGUUUUUGGGACUACAUUCUGGAAGCUUUCAGAGUCAGACCAGAGUUUGAAAGAGGCAUUGUGUCACUAGCCGUGUGCCCGUGGGCAAGUCACAGUAGAGUCUACUUCCCACGGCACUUGUGAGACUCAUCUGGGAUUAUGUGUGUCCAUGCCUUGGCAGAGAGCUUGGUGAAGAAUGUUAGUUGUCCAAUAAAUGGUACCCCAUUAAGUUGGUGUGCAGGGUGGCCACAGGGCCAGACCACCCUGAAAAUAAAGGCUUAUAUUUGGGCUGAGCCUGGAUGCACCUGAGAUUACAAGCAGGUGCUUAGAAUGUGGUGAAAAAGAAAGACAGGAGAGAAUGGCUGAAGGCAGCAUGCAGUCCACCUGACUUUCUGGGAAGAUUGGGCAUUUGCAGGGCUGAUAAGUCAGGUUCUUCCGGGCCUUUCUGUGAGCUCAUUAGAGGAAGGGGUCUGGUGACUGAUAUUUCUAUUUUCCCUGUUAGUAGCGACUGGAAUUUGCACCAUCCAGGUCAGAUGGAAAAUAGAAGGCGGGAAAAUCUGACAGUCUCAUUGAUUUGCUCUCUUUGCCAUCACCACUCUUGAGAGGAAGAAAUGUGACUUCAAACUUGCAAUUAGGAACCAGCCUGCUAAGGAGUCCUCUCGUGAGCUCCUGUGCUAUGCGGAGCACAGGCCCAUCUCAUCUCAUUUCCUAAGGAGUUUCCAGGGGCCACGUCCAUGAAGCAGGAGGCAUCUGCAGUGAAUGCCAUGCCCUGACGCCUUACUGAGCACUCCUAGUAGGACAAAAUGAGUACUGUAUGGGGAGGAGGCAACCUCAAACAACCACCAUGCUUACUGCCAAGCCUAUAGGAUAUUUUUAAAUUCAUUUUUUAAUUUGCAUAUAAUAAAAUGCAUUUUUUUGGGAUGCAGUUUUCUGAGUUUUGCCAAAUGCACAAAAUCACAUAACUACCACUGCCAUCAAGAUUUGGAACAGUGGCUAGGUGUGGUGGUGGCUUACACCUGUAAUCCCAGCACAUUGGGAGGCUGAGGCAGGAGCAUCGCUUGAGCCCAGGACUUCAAGAUCAGCUUGAGCAACAUAGUGAGACCCCAUCUUUACAAAAAACUUUUUAAAAAUUAGCUGGGCAUGGUGGCAUGUGCCUGUAGCCCCAGCUACUUGGAAGGCUAAGGCAGGAGGAUCACUUGAACCUGGGAGGUUGAGGCUGCAGUGUGCUGUGAUUGCACCGCUGUACUCCAGCCUGGGUGACAGAGGAAAACCCCAUCUCAAAAAUUUUUUUUAAAAGAUUUAGAGUCGUUUUCUUUUUUUUCUUUUUUUUUUUUGGACAGAGUUUGGCUCUUGUCGCCGGGGCUGGAAUGCAAUAGUACAAUCUUGGCUCACUGCAACCUCCACCUCCCAGGUUCAAGUGAUUCUUCUGCCUCAGCCUCCCGAGUGGCUGGGACUACAGGUGCCCAGCACCACACCUGGCUUUUUUUUUUUUUUUUUUUUUUUUUUUUUUUUUUUUUUUUAGUAGAGGCAGGGUUUCACCAUGUUGACAGGCUGGUCUCGAACUCCUAACCUCAGGUGAUCCACCCUUUUUGACCUCCCAAAGUGCUGUGAUUAUAGGCAUGAGCCACCGUGCCUGGCCUAGAAUAGUUUUCUUACUCCCCCAAAACUGCUUUAUGCUGCCUUUUUGUAGUCAAACUAUCUGCCUGCCCUUAACCCCAGCUCCCCCGCAUUAGAAACCACUGAACCUCUGAUCUGUUCUUCACCUUAAAGCUUUCCCUUUUCCAGGGUGUAGCGUAUGUGGAAUUAUAGAGUAUGUCACCUUUCAAGUCUGGCUUCUUUCAUCUAGUGUAAUGCAUUUGAGAUUUAUCUAUGUUGUCGGAUGUAUCAGUAAGUUUGUGUCUUAGCAGUGCUGAGAAGUAUUCCUUUGCAUGGAUGUACCCAGAUCUGUUUAUCCAUUCAUCAGUUAGAGGACAACUGGGUUGUUUCCAGUUUGGGGUGAUUACAAAUAAAGCCACGAUGUACAAGCACCUCUAGGUUUUGGGUGAACAUAAGUUUUCAUUUCUCUUAAGUUUCAAUACCUAGGAGAAUGAUUGCUAGGUCAAUGGUAAGAGCGUGUAUAAUGCUACAAGAAAGUGCUAAACUGUUUUCCAAAGUGAGUGUAGCAUUUUGUAUCCCCGCUAGCAAUGAAAUGAGAGCUCCGCUUGCUCUGUAAGAGGCAUUAGUGAAUAUGAAAGUGCUUUGUAAAGACUAAGGGUGUCUCACAGUGUGCCCAGGCGGGAGGAUUCAGAGGGGGCAUUUCUAAACUCUAAACUCCUGUGGGCUCCUAGCCCAUCCUUCUGAAUGGGGACAGAAUACUUCCAUUUCCAGGUUACUUGCUUCUCCAAAAGGGAGACAGGGAAGUAUCCUUCUCUUUUUGCAAAUGAGGGCACAGCACUGCCUCUCGUGGUUGAGCCAGUCAUUAUUCAGUAGGAACAGCAGUGAGAUUCUCCAGCCUUCUAUUUUAUUCCUGGGGUCACAGAGUAAAAUGCAGCGUGAUCAUUUGGAGCAUUCUUAUGCUUUGUGACAAGAACAAAGCCAGUGGAAACAGCCAUGUGUCCAAUCAGAAUGUCAGAGCUGGCAGGGACCUUAGCAAUUGUCACUUUACAGAUGAUAACCUAUUACAUCCCCAGGUCCCCAGAAUCCCAGCCCAGGACUCACUCCCUCAGCCUUCCUGGAUUGUCCUGGGUGGAACAAGAUCAGCUCAUUUAGCACAUAGUCUUCCAGAACACAAGGCAGUGUCCCACCAAGGUUGGAUGGGACCAGCUUCUCUAUCCACAGUAGCUGUGCACACAGAGACAGAAAUGAAGCCGUACUGCCGGGUGCACCGUGGCCAGAGAUCCUCCUUCCUGGUAUAUACUCCCGGAGCCAUUGCUUCUUUCAUUUCAGUGCCCAUUUCUGAGGCACCUUCACAUUUCAAACGUCCUGAGAAUAUGUUUAAUUAGAACUUGGCCAUACAGCCUUUUAAAACAAAACAGAAGGGACCAGCUAAUUAUAUCACUCAGCAUUCUGUGGCAAACAUAUAUUUUUUAAUAAAACACUUUCCUAACCAGAGUAAUCCCUGGAGAUGCAAAUCCUCAUUUAUAAGAAGUUUCCCAAAGGGAGUUAAAGAGAAGAUGCCUUAUAAAGAAAAGAGACAAAGAGAGUGGGGAAGUGUUUUCAAAGAGCUUUUAAAAGAUACACUCAUUCUGAGGUUGAAUUACAGAUAUUUUAAGGGUACCAAAUUUUAUUUCAGAUGUAAUCCUUUCCUGUGUUUUUGAUCAUGUAUUUCCGUUUUUUCCCUUUUUGAUCAUUGCCACAAAUGCCCAUAUUUCUCUUUCUGGUGUCUUUCAUAAGUGCAAUAUUUAAAUAAACAAGGGAUUUUCCCAAAAUGCACCUCAUCUCCUACUCUUUGUCAUUUCCUUGUCUUGCUCUGUAAAUAACCGUGUGUCUCACAGCAGAGCUUACACAGAAUGGAUGUGGGGCAGUCUGUGGUCCUGGGGAGGGCCUUCCCUGUAAUCUCUGCAGCCCAGGACAGGGAGAGGGAAGAUUUAGAUCCUGCUGCGGCAUGUCUUCAGGAGUGGAGGUCAGCUUGGGACAUUUACGUUCAUGAGGCAGCCGCAGAGGGUCAGAGCAAUAAUUGUGCCAGCUGAUGUUUGCUGCGGGGUUUACUCCAAGCCAGGCCACACGCUAAGAAAUUAGGUAUCGUACCUCAUUUAAUCCUCACAAUCCUCACAAAAUGUAGUUGUUUUGCUCCAUUUUGCAGAUGAAGAAGACGAGGCUUGAGAGACGAAGGAAUGAAUGAAGGGUCUCACAGCUGUUAGAAGGGUUAGAUCUUGUAUUUGGACUCAGGUCUGCCUGCCCUGGAACUUGACUCUCCCACACCUGGUGCUGGGCACACUAGGAGACGUCACAAGGCUCAGAGAUGCCACCCUUCCUAGAACGGGCGCCGUGCCUCUCUUCUCCACACACUGCAGGGGAGACAGGCACUGUGUUUUCAGAUAAGUUCCAUGUGCAUCAGGGGCUCGGUGGGAAAGGGAGGACACACUCAGAUUAGGAUUAUUCAUGGAGGAUUCUCCAAAGAGGCUAUUUGGAAAGACGGAGGGAAUGGUGAAGGAAAGCACAAGAGAAAAUGGACAGAACCGUUACUUCCUCACGCCUGAAGGGGAUGGGUUACUGGAAGCCAGGAGGAGAGUGUGAUAAGAGCCACUUUUAGAGGAGCUUUCACCUUCAGGAGAAAGUCAGGGCCCAAGAAGACCCACAGGGAGGUGACCAGGGAAUGGCAUACUUGGACUACCCUCUCUUCUGUUCCUCCACUCUCCUGCCAGGGCUCCACAUUGGAUAAACCCCUGCAGGGGCGAGUGAAACUGCCACCCAGGUUUGCCUCCCAGGGCACAGCCCAUGGAGAGCUCUAAGGCAAGUGGCAGAAAACUAGCACAGGUGCAGUGCGUCUUGCAAAGCACCCAGCCUAUGCCGGCCCUGGGCUAGAAAUGGGAAGAGAGGAGACCAUGGCACUGCCCUCAAAGAUCUUAGAGUCUGUGGAGGAGUCAGGCAGAGAGAGGGGGUGUUCCCUUGGCAAAGGACUCCAUGAGCAGAUGCAGGCCAUGGGCGACGCUCCUGCAGAAGCUUUGGGGUUUGCCGCAUGUGCCUGGAAGGAGCGCGCCCACCUUGACAUGCCUCGCCUCCUGUUGCCAUUGACAACGUGAAGGCAAACUCCUGGGGCUGGGCCUUUUUCCUUGAGAUAAAAUAUGUAUAAUUCUCUGUUAUCAAAUGAUUAUUAAACAAAAUCUAAUUGAAAAAAUAGAAAGAAGAAAAGAUAAGUCAUUUAUCAUCCUGUUCUCCAAAGACAACUGUGAACAGCUUGGUGGAACUCCUUCCAGUGGCUUUCCUUGGAGCUUUGCCUCUGUGGAUGUGGUAAGAGUCGGAUGCGAUUUUGAAUUUUGAGAUUUUGAUUGAGCAUUGUUGUAGUAUUUUGCCAUGUUAUGAUAAAUCAUUGGCAAACAUAGUUUUUGACGGCUGCAUAAUAUUCUGCAUAAUAUUCAUAAUAAUGAAUGCUAGUAUAGUUCAUAUUAUAAUUCUUCUACUGUAUUUAUUUAUUUAUUUAUUUUUGAGAUAGAGUCUUGCUUUGUCACCGAGGCUGGAAUGCAGUGGCGCGAUCUCAGCUCACUGCAACCUCCACCUCCUGAGUUCAAGCUGUCCUCCCACCUCAGCCUCCUUCAAUAGCUGUGACUACAGGUAUUCGCCACCAUGCUGGACUAAUUUUUGCAUUUUUUAGUAGAGACGGGGUUUCACCAUGUUGGCCAGGCUGGUCUUGAACUCCUGACCUCAGGUGAUCUGCCCGCUUCGGCCUCCCACAGUGCUGGGAUUACAGGCAUGAGCCACCACGCUCAGCCUUCUUCUACUGUUUAAAUGUUUAGGUUAUAUCCUGUUUCAUUAAUAUUAAAGAAUGCUAUAAUUAAAAACUUUGUGUAUAGAGAAUUUUUCCAUGUUUCAGAUUAUUUAUCCAGGAUGAUGUCUCUAAAAUAAAGCUACUAGAGGUUGAAGUAUCUAGCCCAGGGCCAGCCACAGAAUAGACACAACUUGGUUGAUAACUAUUGUUGUUCAGUGGUGAGUGUUUAUGUAAAGCUCUUCUGCAAUUAAGAACUGCUCCAAAGUCCUUCCUCUAGAACAGCGCUUGAAUAUGAUGUGAGCCACGUAAUUCUCAAUGUUAUAAUAACCACAUUUCAAAAAGCAGACACAGUUGAAAUUAAUUUUAAUAAUACCUUUUACUGGAGCUGGGCAUGGUGUCAGGCCUGUAAUCCCAGCACUUUGGGAGGCCGAGUUGGGCAGAUCACAUGAGCCCAGGAGUUUGAGACCAGGCUGAGCAACAUGGCAAAACCUCAUCUCUACAGACAAAUACAAAAAUUAGCCAAAUAGGUGGUGUGUGGCUGUAGUCCCAGCUACUCGGGAGGCUGAGGUGAGAGGAUCACUUGAGCCUGGGGGGUUAAGGCUGCAGUGAGCCAAGAUUGCACCAGCGUACCCCAACCUGGGUGACAAAGUAAGACCCUGUCUCAAAAAAAAACAUUAAUUAAUUAAAACAAACAUAAAAAUACAUUUUACUUAACCGAUUAUAUCUAAAAUAUUAUUUCAACAUAUGAUUAUAUGUAAUCAACAUAAAAUUUAUCAAUGAGAUAGUCUACAUUUUUUUCCCAUGUAAACCUUUGAAAUCUGAUGUAUAGAUUUUAUGCUUACAACACAGCUCCAUUCAAACCAGCCUCAUUCCCAGUGUUCAGUAGCCACGUGGGUGCCUGAUAGCCACUGUGGACAGUGCAGGUCUAGGGCAAGGAACCCACCAGAGAUAUUUGCCACUGUUGGCAUCUUCACCUAGCCCUGAAAUCCAGCCACCUUUUAAUGCCUCCCCGAACCCCCUUACUGGCGUUCUGGACUGAGGGUGGACCGGGUGGCCAGGUGUGACAUGACUUCUGUACCUGGACAUUUUUACCAGUCGUCCUCAUUCCUGCCUUGACCUUGACCUUAGCCAAUCACAGCAUCCCUCUAUCCCAGUGUGCCUGGCACUGGUUCAUUCAGAGACAUUGCACACUUCCCGCAUGGUAAGCCCUGGGCCUGACCCUAGGGAUACAGGUGGACAAACAGAACUUUCUUGUAAAAUUUAAUUACAGAACUUGUCAGUGUUUUUACGGUCUAGUGGGGGAGACAGACUUUAAUCAAAUCAUCACACAAAUAUAUAUAGUUUCUAAAUGUGGUUAAGUGCUACAAGGGAAAUGCACUUUUAAAAAUGCUAACACUGGGUCAUGGCAUGAGUGGCCCGCCCUGAAGGCAUUUAAUAAAGGUGGCCCAGCCCCUGGCCAGGCUGUCUUAGGGAACAUUCAUGUGAAAGAUGAGAGUGAGAUAAGAGGAUCUCAGUUUCCUUCUGGUAUCCAGGGUCCCUAAGCUACAUUAACAGAGUUUCUAGGACAGACAGUAGCUCACCGGUUCCUGUGUCUGGGGCCCAGUUGAUCAAUUUGUUGUUUGUCAUCUCUAAAAAGUAUUGCGGCCAGCUGGAACAUAAAAGUAAUGAGGAAACAGGCCAGGUGCAGUGGCUCAUGCCUGUAAUCCCAGCACUUUGGGAGGCUGAGGUGGGCGGGGGAUCACCUGAGGUCGGGAGUUUGAGAUCAGCCUCACCAACAUGACUAAAACCUGUCUCUACCGAAAAUACAAAAUUAGCCGGGCAUGGUGGCACACGCCUGUAAUCCCAGCUACUUGGGAGGCUGAGGCAGGAGAAUCACUUGAACCUGGAAGGCGGAGAUUGCAAUGAGCCGAGAUCGUGCCACUGCACUGCAGCCUGGGGAACAAGAGUGAAACUCUGUCUCAAAAACAAACAAACAAAAAAGUGAUGAGGAAGCAGAAGGCUACCCAUUCAUUCAUUCAUUCAUUCAUUUGUUCCUGUGUUCACGCAGCAACUCUCAGUGAGUGCUCUGUGGGAUGCCAGGCAGGCUCUGCACAGUCAGAAUGGCAAAGUCAGCCUUCUCUCUGGCAGAUUACACACUGCCAACUGAACACACUUUUCCGGGGAACAUAUCCACUUAAAAGAGAGGAAAAAUCAAUGCUAAUAGAACUCCUUAUCUGGUUCCAAAAAUGACAUCGUCCGUAGUGGCUGAUGCUUUGAGCCCAUGGCUGCUCUGGAGGCAUGAGCCCUGCAUGGACACAAUUUUGUAAGCUCCUCGAACCUGGCCAAAUCAAUCAAUGAGAGGCUGCAGCAUGGAGAGAGUCUGGGUUCCAGGGGCAAACUGUACCAUUCCUCUUCUAACCUGAAACAGGACGGAGACCCUCCCUUCAACCUCCAGCCCCUAGGGACAGGGUAAUUUCAGCUGCACCUGAUGUACCCUAUACAUCACUGUCUUCUCCACCAGCUCUCAAAUUAAACUCUGAUGUAUAAAGUUAAACAAAAAUGAGAUAAAAUUUGGCAGAGGUUGAAGAGGGUCAAAGUAGUCCAAACAUAAGGUAGACUAUUGCUUCUUUUGAUUUAUGUUAUUCUGUACACUGAGAAAAAAAUAAAAUUAUAAAUCUCCCCGAGACUUUCUCAUUGAGAAUGAGGCAUUGCUAAUUGAUUUUCAAUAGACUCCCAGGGUUUUCAGCUGGGAGGAGCACUAUAGCUGUUGUUUGUAGUGAAGAUGCCAUGGUUCGACCUCGGACAUGUACUGUGAUGAUGUAAAAAUAUCCUGCAAAAUUAACAUCUGCAGGCAGUGAUGUUGAAAACCACCCUGCCUUACCUGGCUCAUGUCACAGACCACAGUGUCUGUCCUUCCUUAUUUUCUUAUUUAAUCCUUGCAAACCCCUAAUAUGUGACACACAGAAUUCACUGUCCCCUUUUGGCAGUUAGGGAAACUGAGGCUUAAAGAAACCACGUGUCUUCAGUAAAUAUUAGCAUGUCUACUAAAUGGCUGGGACACAGAAGUGAACAAGACCAGUACCCUCUCCUAGAGACCUUCUUCCAGUACAAGAGACGAUAAUCAAGUCAAAUGACUAAAUAUAAAGGAUUAUUAGUGUGUAGAAUUAAUUGUGAGGAAAUGGAAGUGGGAAAAGGGAUAGAGAAAAAGGGGUAUAGAAAGCCAAGGGAGGGCCUUAACAAGGGAAUAUUUAACAGUAAAACAGUAAGAUUUACUUUUUUUUUUUUUUUUGAGAUAGGGUCUUGCUCUGUCACCCAGGCUGGAGUUCAGUGGUACUAUCAAAGCUCACUGCAGCCUCAAACUCCUGGGCUCAAACAAUCCUCUCACCUCAGCCUCUCAAGUAGCUGGGAUUAUAGGUACACAACAACACACCUGGCUUAUUUUUUAAUUUUUUGUAGAGAUGGGAUCUCACUAUGUUGUCCAGGCUGGUCUUGAACUCCUGGCCUCAAAGGAUCCUUCUACCUCAGCCUCCCAAAGCACUGGGAUUACAGGCAUAAGCCACCAAGCCUGGCCCAAGAUAUACAUUUUUAAAGGAUGGUGAAGGCUGCUGUGUGUAGAACUAACUCAGGGGGACAAGGGCAACAUCAGAGAGACCAGUUAGUAGGCUGUGCUCAUUUUCUGGACAAGAUAUGGUGGUGAGUUGGGCCAGGUGGUGGCAGGAGUGGUAGGUUGCAGAGCUUAGAACAAUUUUGAAGAUAAGGUGUCUCCAAGGGAUCUGUUCCUGCUCCGUUGCUCUUUCCACAGCACGCUACCUGCAGCUUCUGCUGGUAUCACUGCACCAGACUCUGGAGCACGCUGCUUCUCUGGAGGAGGAUAAAGACAGGGAGGCUAUCUAGGGAGAUAAGACUGCACCAGCAGGCAGCAGGGGCUUCCGAGAAGAGGGCCCCUAGUCCUGGCUGCGUAUGUGCUUGUGUGUGUCACUUGCGAUGUGCAUAAUCAUCUUCAGUCUUAUUUUUCCCAGGUAACUGCAAAAGGUAAUUUCCAGCUCAUUUAGCUCUGUUCUUUCCCUAAGCUCCUCUAGUCUGGCUUUUGUCUCUGCCACUCCUACCAAAACCACUCUGCUCAAGGCCAUGAUCAAUGUCUCCAUUGCCUAGUCCAGGACAGUCAGAGCUGCUCUGGGACAGAUACACCAGAUGCAUGAGUUUCCUGAUAGAGCAGGAUCUCAGUGGAGGCUCGAUGCCCACCUGCCUGAUGCUGUGGGAUGGAUUUCUGCACAGAUGCAACCUCUGUGGGCAGAGGCCAGGAUGAGGCUUAUGUGGCUGUGAAGACAGCCUUUGAUCUGUUUUCUGAUGCAACCACAGUGCUGCAGGCCCUGCUUCAUCUUGGAGGUUUGAUGAGUGCAGACAUGAGAGGUUUCUAGGUAGAGCUGAGCCCUGGGCUCUCGAGUCUCCUCUGUCUGCAUAUCUGCAUGUGGUUGGCAAAGUGCCAGCCAACCUCAGUGCAACCCUCACCAAGUUCUCAAGGAACAGCCUCUGAAAGUCCCUCUCUAUGCUGAGUUCUAGGGAAGGAAAAGGAACUCAGGGAAUAGAAGAGCUGAUCUGCCCAAGUCAUACAUUUCUUGGGGGCACAGGAGGACUACAUCUCUCAUGCUCACUUGAAAUUAACUGUGGCCACUCAAAUUAAGGUUUACCAGAUGGAACAUGAGCGGGAGUGAUGUGUUCUCUCUAAAGGCCUAACCCAUGAAAAACCUAUUGGGAACACUCCCCCAUGCUCUUUUCCAUUCCAUGAGCUGGAUGCAGAUGAUGGCAAGGAACUAGGGUGAGGUGGAACCACAAAACAGAGGGAGCUUGGAUCCCUGAAUGACCACAUGGACAUACACAUACACCAAAGACUGUCUUGUAAGCAAGAAAUAAACAUCUACUGUAUGGAACCUUUGCAUGGAGGGUCUAUUUGUUAUAGCAGCUUAGCUUACCCUGACUAAUACAAUCCCUGCUCUCUGAGAAUUUAAAAUUGCUUCAAGGAGACAAGACUCACUCAUACAAUUCUGGAAUGGUAGUACGUGGCUUCGAAGAAGGGUGGGUUGUAAGGUUUGGACUUUCAGUUCUGAAGUCACAAGCUAUAGGCCCUUGGGUAUUAGACUCUCCUAUUGAAGGCCUUUUUCUGGAAAGCUGGAAGAUAGACUGGGGAGAAGGCCCUUCUGGAAGAGGACACAUUACAAUCAAGGGUUCAAAAGUAGGGCUUGAAGCAAGCAUAGAUGAGAUCAACAAUGUUAAUUCCUAGAAAAUGAAAAAGGAAAAUGGCCUUUAAAUACCUAAGAGCUUUGACUGCUGCAGGGAUGAGACGAAGGCCAGACUUUCAUAACUUCUCUCCUGUGACUUCACACACCUCAGAAGUUUUCUGGUGAGGAGCCCUGAACCUGGGUGUGUGGGGAGUUGGUGUCAGCUUGCUGUUUCUCUCCCAUGCCUUUUCUCCUGGCUAGGAACCCCACUUGUUGUCUGUUUUAACCAAUAACUUAGCUCAGACUUGAAUGCUUGAUUGGAACAGCAAGUCUCCAGCUUUCUGCAGAGGUCUUUGGGGACAGGAAUAUGAUGAAGUUUCUGAGCUGAGGAUUCUAACUGAGACUUCCAGCUCUCAGCUGAACUUCAGACGUGUUCUUUACAGUCACAGCUGUGAAGCUUUUCAGGGCAAGGCCCUGAAAAGCUCAGCUUGGAUCUGUCUGUCCCUACCAGGUUCUGGGGGAAGGGGGAGGAGAGCAGGCAGAACACUCCCAGUUUACAGCCCAGGGAUGCUGAGUCCUGGGGCCAAAGGUGUUGCUCAUCACCCUCGAGCCCUAGAAGUGGCAGGACCUCAGGAGAAUUCAAAGUGGUCUUCCUCUUAGGAAAGAUAAACACUUAUUCCACUGGUUCUCCUCUUCCUGGACACUCCACUCCCUUCUUCCCAGACUCACACACCUCCUAACUGCACCCCAAUGAAUGGUGCUUCUCUGGGUCCCCCACAGACAAACAUUGGGGAGCAGCCACUAAAGACUUGGGUUCUGGUUCCAACUGCUGAUUUUGAUUAAGGGUGUGACCUUGGCCCUCUUCAUCCCCCUCUCUUCUUCCCCUGUUCAUUCACAGCUGCUUUUGUUAAUAUUCAUGGUGCAUUAUGUAACUAUUGUUCACAGUUGAGCCAAGUAGUGUACUAGACUUGCUUGGUUGGUUUCAUUCUCCUUUUGUUUUCCCUGAAGCCAAUAAUCAACUCAUUUUCAUUUGCUUGGUGUUGUUUGCACAGAUGAUUAAGUUUUCCCUUACCUACCUGCAGCCUGUCAAGACAAUUUUCCACAAGAUUGAACAGAUCAGAAAAUCCACUGGGAGCAGUUUCUUCUUCUUCUUGGAGGUGUCCCCUCUGUAGGCCUCUGACGUUCCAGUUCAGUUCCCUGUUUGGGCAACAGCACAACUAUCAUAUGGGCUUUUCUUCACCUCCAGCUUGGAGAAUUUCUUUACUUCUCUCAUCCAUUGGAUCCACUGCUUCCUGGAGCCGAUGCCUUUCCCUCCUUGGUUUCAUCCCUUCUUUUGUUGGUGCACAGCCCCCAGCAGCUGUCUGCUAAUGCAGGGAUGACAUCUGGGGGUUAAGCUAGCAGGACAAAGGAGCUUCUGCCAUUUCUCUUCUGGAUAAUCAUCCCCCAACAAACAACAACAGCAGCAAAUAAAUAAAACAAGAAGAAUGUGAAAGAGAAAUGCAAAUUUCAUUUUAUACAAAAUAAGCAGACAGACACAACCCAGUACUGCAAAGAGUGGAAAAUAGGUGGGAGAGAGUCGAAGGACCUUGUUCUGCUAGGUGUCUGCAGCAGGGCAGAAGCCGAUCUACCAGGCAGAACCCCAGAGUAGCUCAGGAAUCCAAGAUGCCACACAAGGCAAAGUGAGGUGUGGCAGGUCACAGGUUGCAGGCCUCCAUGGGGAAUAGCUAGGCCCCCAGGUUCCCACCCCUGAGCCUGACACCUUCCCCUGUCCUUUUGGAAGACGGGAAGAGGAUCCAGGCAAGGGCCAGGGUGAACACAAACCAAAACGAGGGGGAUUGGGGGAAGUUUACUCUUGUACACAGUCCCCCAGCUCUUUUCUGUCUGGCUCAUGGUCCAGGAGCAGAGGUAGGUCAUGGGUCACCUUUUCUUUAUGUCCUACAAGAGGUAUGAAUUUUAACACAUGCACUGGUUGUGUAACCAGAACUUCAAUCAGGAUACAGAAGAGUUCCAUCCCCUCCUGCCCCCGACUCCCUCAUGUUACCCCUUUUAUAGACAAACACUCCCUCCACCCCUUGCCCCUGGGAGCCACUGAUCUGUUCUCCAUCACUGCAAUGUUGUCUCUUUAAGAAUGUCACAUAAAUGGAGUCAUGUCAUAUGCUACCUUUUGAGACUGGCUUCCUUCACUCGGCAUAAUGCCUAUUUAUUUAUUUAUUUAUUUAUUUAUUUAUUUAUUUAUUGAGACAGAUUGUUGCUCUUGUCGCCUAGGCUGGAGUGCAGUGGCAUGAUCUCGGCUCAUUGCAACCUCCACCUCCUGGGUUCAAGCGAUUCUCCUGCCUCGGCCUCCCAGGUAGCUGAGAUUACAGGCAUGCACCACCACACCCGGCUUAUUUUGGUAUUUUUAGUAGAGACAGGGUAUCACCAUGUUAGUCAGGCUGGUCUCAAACUCCUGACCUCAGGUGAUCCAACUGCCUCAGCCUCCCAAAGUGCUGGGAUUACAGGCGUGAGCCAACGUACCUGCCCAAUGCCUUUGAGACUCAUCCAAAUUAUUUCACGUAUUAGGAAUUUAUUUUUCCUUAUUUCUGAGUAGUGUUUCAUUGUAAGGAUGUACCACAGUGUGUUUAUCCAUCCACCCCUUGAACGACAUUUUGGGUUGUUUCUAGUUUUGACAGUUAUGAAGACUAUUGCUACAAACAUUUGCAUACAGGGUUUUGUGUAAAAACAGAUUUUUAUUUCACUGGAGUAAACACCCAAAGGUGGGAUUACUGGGUCCUAUGGAAAGUGUAUGUCUAAUCUUAUAGGAAGCUACCAAACAUUUUUUCAGAGUGGCUGUACUGAUUUUUAUUCCCACCAGCAAUAUAUAAGAGUCUUGUUGUUAGACAUGUUUGCCAACACUUGGUAUUGACAGUAUUUUUUUAAAAAAUGUUAUCAUUUUAAUAGGUAUAUAGUGGUAUCUCACUAUGACUUCAAGUUGCAUUUCCCUAACAGCUAAUUAUGUUGCACAUUUUUAUGUCCUUAUUUGCCAUUCUUACAUCUUUUUGGUGAGUGUCUCUUCAAGUCUUUUGCUCAUUUUAAAAAUUGAGUUGUUAGUAUACUUACUGUUGAGGCCUGCGUGUUCUUUACACAUUAAAUAUUCAAGUUCUUUUAAAAAAAAAAUACAGGGGCCUUUUGUAUUCCCUAAACUGGAAUGCAGUGGCAUGAUCAUAGUUUACUGUAGCCUUGAACUCCUGGGAUCGAGGGAUCCUCCCACCUCAGCCUUCCAACUAGCUGGGACUACAGGUGCAUGCCAUCAGGCCCAGCUAAUUUUUAUUUUAUUUUUUGUAGAGGAGGGGACUUGCUUUGUUGCUCAGGCUGGUCCUAAACUGCUGCCCUCAAGCAAUCCUCCUUCCUUGGCCUUCCGAAGGCAUGAGAAUUACAGGCAUGAGCCACUGUGCCUGGCCCAUAAAGAUGCAAGUUCUUUGAUGAAUAGGUUACUUACUAUUUUUUUUGUCCCAAUCUAUAGCUUCUGGUUUCAUUCCUUUAAUUGUCUUAUAUAGAGCAAAAGAUGUUUUUGUUGUUGUUGUUUUGUUUGUUUGUUUGGCAGAGCCUUGCACUGUCACCCAGGCUGGAAUGCAGUGGCAUAAUCUCAGCUCACUGCAGCCUCUGUCUCCCAGGUUCAAGCGAUUCUCCUGCCUCAGCCUCCUGAGUAGCUGGGAUGACAGGCGCCUGCCACCACGCCUGGCUAGUUUUUUGUAUUUUUAGUAGAGAUGGGGUUUCAAUCAGUUGGCCAGGCUGGUCUUGAACUCCUAGCCUUGUUAUCCGCCUGCCUCGGCCACCCAAAGUGCUGGGAUUACAGGCGUGAGCCACCGCGCCCAGCCUAGAGCAAAAGAUUUUGAUUGUGAUCAUGGACGCCAUCUUCAAACUGAUUCCCGUCUCCAUUAAUGUGCAUUUAUUGAGCACCUGUAGUAUACAGGUCCCUGUUGGGGGUUGAGCUUUACAAGACUGAUGGAACCUGGUGCUCAGAGCAUCCUCUAAGAUCUUUGCCCUUCCCCAGGGGAGGAGGUGCUGGUUUAGACCCAUAGCCCUGAGGGAAGUUCGGGACUUACUUAGGUUUUUCAACCCCAACUAUCCUCAGCUUCAAACCAAUGCCACCGAAUUACCCCCUGAGCAUUCCUGUCUUACCCACCCUCCUUUGCCUAAGCCUUGUUUUCCUUCACUCAAGCAUUGAUCUCCUCCUUCCUUCCUGGGUUAACCUUGCCUACAAUUCAAAGCUCAGCUGGGAUAAUCCAUCAGGCCUGAAAGCUUCUCCAACCCAAAGUUUCUAUCUCUCUGUCUAUGGCCUUGUUUGAUUAUAUCAUCUUUUCUUCCCACCUGGUAGGGUUUUGGGGAUUAAAUAAUAUGAAGCAUAUAGACAUGUGCAGCAAAAAGCCUAUUAGAAAGUAGAUUUUCCAUGCAAGUUGCUACAAAAUCAAAUAAGUUCCCAGUUCCUGAGAACCCAAGGUUUGAUAUGGUUUGCCUGUGUCUCCACCCAAAUCUCAUCUUGAGUUGUAGUUCCCACAAUUCCCAUGUGUCAUGGGAAGGACCCAAUGGGCAUAGGUCUUUUCUGUGCUGUUCUCAUGGUAGUGAAUCUUUCUCAGGAGAUCUGAUGGUCUUACAAAGGGGAGUCCCCCUGCACACACUCUCUUUCCUGCUGCCACGUAAGACAUGCCUUUGCUCCUCCUUGCCUUCCACUAUGAUUGUGAGGCCUCCCCAGCCUUCUGCCACUGUGAGUCCAUUAAACUUUUUCCUUUGUAAAUUACCCAGUCUCCAGUAUGUUUUUAUCAGCAGCAUGAAAAUGGACUAAUACAAAGUUCCCUCUAAUUCUAUGUUAGAAGCCUGUUUUAGAAGGGCUUCCACGAUUAUUUUAAUGAGAGCAAACUGGUUCAUGAGUACACCGGGCAACACACGGGCACUUUCACAGGAAAGUUAAGAGCAUCUUCCGCCAAAGGAGAGCCAGAGGCCAGUCAGGAAAAGGAAGGAUUUCUUAAUAAUAGGAGGUCUUUCGCUAUUCCAGUGUCCUGCCGCAAAAUGAUAGUACAGACCUGGCUGCUAGUCCCCUAGAGUGCCCAGUGCUUCCUUUUCUAGAACUGAGACAAAUAAAAAGUAAACUCCAGUUCUGGAGUCCUGUUUUGCAGGCCCCGUUCCCAAAUGUCAGCUCCUAAUGGGCAACAGCUGCCUCUGUGGUUUCUUCUAGGCAAGUGAUUCAUGUCUUUGCUCAGAAACGAUAAGCAGAACAAAUGUUUGCUUAGACAUAUAACAGAGGGACAAUUGGAAAACAGGAGACUGGCAACUGGAAAUAGUUUGCAGCUAUUUGAUCCAUGAUAAUUAGUCUGAAUUAGUCAUAUGGUGCUCACUGGCCAGGCCUUUGGGCCAGAGGCAGCGUGGGGGAAUAGACAGCUGGUCUUCCUGGAAAAGAAGUGCAGAAGGGAACAUAGCAGACACAGAGGUUUGCUCAGAACACGUCAGAUUGGCUCUUGCCCUCUCAAAGGUGACCCGUCUUGACCAUCUGCCUUAGUUGCACUCCAUACCGGAUCCGGGUCCCCAGCCUGGAAAUGAGUGGAGAGGCAGAAACUACACACCCAUGGGAGAUGCCUCUAAAAUCCAUUAACAAUUUUUUACACACUCAGAAGUUAAAGUAAACAAUAGGUUGAAUUUUGUGUGUGUGCAGGUGGGAAAAAGCUUCAAAAAUAUCCAGACACCCACAUUCAUUGGAUUUUAAUCUUAGGGAUCAUGUUAGGUAUACUGACUCAUUUAAGAGAUAUAUGGACCUUGAAUUUGGAACCUAAAAGUGGGACUUUGAGUGGAAUUUUCAGUCUGAUUAUGUUGAUAUAAUUUAAGAUCUUGUAGCCUACAUUAUACUUAUACAGAAUGUACUCCUGUGGUCAUGCUCCAAUACAUUAUUUAGCAGAUCUAUCAUAAAUAUUUUUCUUUCUGUGAGAAAAGGUUUCACUCUGUCCCCCAGGCUGGAGUGCAAUGGCACAAUCAUGGCUGACUACAGCCUCAACCUCCUGGGCUCAAGCAAUCCUCCCACCUCAGUCUCCCGAGUAGCUGGGUCUACAGGUGCCCUCCACGACCACGCCCAGCUAAUUUUUUUUUUUUUUUUUUUUUUUUUUUUUUUGUAGAUACUGGGUUUCGACAUGUUGCCCAGGCUCGUUAUCAUGAAUAUUUCUAUGAGAAGGGAGAAAAGUCAGAUACAUUCAAUAUUUCAGCCAAAAAAAAGAAAAGCUACAUUUUUGUCAAAAACUUCUCAGACCAUUUUUUGCAGAGUCAGGAGGAAAAACAAAAAGUGAAGCCCACAAACCCGACCCCCUCCUCACCUCAGAUUAGAAUCUGUAAUAUUGGAGGCCUCUGGGAGUAGAAUUUAAGUCACUAGGAAGGUGGACACAUCGGCAAAGCCAGCCCGGAGCUGAGUAGGGCAUCGACUGCUUUACCAGCAAACAUGAACGAAGCUAAUUUUG